GAGAACAGAAAGCCAAAAAAAAUCCCAGCUGAGCACUGUGAUUAACUUCAAGUCUUCUUUUGUAAUCUAUUGUGGAGAUAGGCAAGUAAAUUAAACAGAAAAGUAAGGGCUUAUUACAAAACUUCUGAUAUCUGUUAUCUGUAAAACUAUUUUUUUUAUUUUAAAUUGUAAAAUCCAUUUGCUUAGCUUGGACUUUUAGCUAAGCAAACACGUAAUAUUUAUAGCAGUUACAAUAGAAGGCAGUUUUAAGAGUAAACGUUUUUUAAGCAGGAUAGUCUGCAAAUUACAAUAUUGCAUAGCAGUCUUAAUACGAAAUUUCUGAAGCAAUUUUGCACAACUAUUAGAAAAGUACUAACCUACUUGUCACUAUGCUUAUAUUCUUACAACUACACAAGUGUCCAUCAACUGGUUUCACUAUGUACAUUUCCAAAUUUCGUACACCACACUCUCAAACAACUUACACCAAUCUCUCAUUUCCAGUCCAGCCUUUUAGAAUUUCAAUGACCACACCAUCACCAGUCUCCUCCACCCACUCCCACAUAUGAUUGGUUCCUUCCUAACUAUGCAGUGUGCUCCAUACACACCAUCUCUAGUUCAAAUAUUUGAAUUACUAUAAUCUCCACACUGCGGGUCAGGGCCACCCUUAUGAUACACACAUUCAAGGCACAUGUUAAAGAAGCAAGGACGUAAUUAUAAAAUACAGUAUAACCAGAAAUGUAAUCAGGGUAAUGCAUCUGUUGGUCAUGGUCGAGGGCUGACCUCGAGGGCUUUUGUUGAUCGUUCAAAUGUCAUUGAUUUAGAACAGUCAGAUAAGAUAUUCAGGCAUGCAAGGAAGAUCAGACUACCAUAAUCUAAAAUUUAUCACAUCAAUAUCUUAAGCAUUAAUAAAUUAAGUAGCUACCAUAAUUUAGGUUUCUUAGCUUGAUCUUCCGUAGCAGUAAUUACCAUAUUCAGUAACUUUUUAUAAACAAAAUUUUAAUAGAAAAAAAAAAAAAAACACCAUUACAAUCCUGAGUAGCCUGAGUACAAUUACUCAUCGUUAGGUUCAUAACUAAAUGAAGCAAACCAAGCUACUAUCAGUAAUUAAGUAGCCUUUCCUAUAUAAAAAUCAGAAAUUUGUAAGUAUCAAAUUAUAAUUCAGUAUAAUUAUCAUAUAUCACAAAUUUAAGUUUCUAGUUGUAUGGAAAAGUAAUGCACACCACUAAAUUUAGUGAAUUGGAUAAGAAGGAAAACUAUAAAUCUUCUAUUAACGGUGAUAAAGAAAGAGAGUUUAAAGAAAGGGAGAGAUUGAAUAGCCAAUUUUGGUUUAUAUCUGAUUGAAUUAAAAUUGAUUAAGGUUUCCUGCUCAAAAGAGAUUGACGAAAGAGAGAGUUUAAAGAAAGAGAGAUUGACGAAAAAGAUUGAAUACUAAAUUUUGAUAAAUAAAAUCAAAAUCAUCAAUCAAUUACUUAAAAAUUAAGAAAGCAUGAAAUUUAUUAAAUAGCUUCUAAGAUUAAUAUGUUCCUUACUAAGAUUAUAACUACUUCAUCAAUUCUAAAACUCAAUUACAGCUUUGGAGAGUUUUCAAAUCCUAAAACAUCAUUGUUCAUCACACAAAGUUUUGAAUUUAAAAAAAAAAAAAUAACAGUUGAUAUCAAAGAGGAAGAGAGAGAGAGAGAGAGAGAGAGAGAGAGAGAGAGAGAGAGAGAGAGAGAGAGAGACCUGGUCGCCGAAGAGAGAAGGAGAUCGAGAGAGAGAUUACGGCAGUGGUGGUGGUUCAAAACUCUUCGCCCCUGCCCUAACUUUUACCCCGCACAGUUUUACAUAAACCGGGAAGCUCUUGUUUUGUUUAGUUUUUUGAUUUUUUUUGAUUUUAUGGUUUUAUGGUGAUAUAUAUUCAAAGCGUAACUUAAGCCCACUGUGUAACUUAAGCCCAACCGUAAGUUUAUUAACUUAUAUAAGUUAUAAAGAUACACUAUGAUCGAGGAAAUCCAAGGGUUGAGAUCUGAUUUCGACCCCCAACUUGUAAUCAGGGCCGUCCAGAGACAAAAUUUAUAUAAGUUUGUCUCCCAAACUUGAGAUUGCCUUGUCCCUUAUAACUUAGAUUGUUCAAAUUUUUUUUUUUCAUUUCUGCUCAACAGUCUUAUCUUUGAAAAUGUGUUUCUUUUACAGAAAUAAUCGAUGAUGCAAUCCUUUAGAUAUGUAAGGGAUGAAGAAAUUUCUCUUAUGAUCGAUAAAAUCACCACUUUAUGUUCUGUCGGAUCUCCAGUUAACGUAACAGAAUUACUGAAGACACUCACCAGCGACAUAGUAUGUAGAUGUGCUCUUGGAAGGAAACAUGGAGGACAAGAUGGUCAGACUAACUUUGGAGACUUGGCAGGUAAAGUAUUGAAACUGCUGGCAGCAUUUAGUUUUGGUGACCUGCUUCCCUGGUUUGGAUGGAUGGAUAAUAUCAUAGGAUUGAUUGGGUCAAUAGAAAAUGUUUCGAAGGACCUAGAUAUGUUCUAUGAUCAAAUCAUCGAUGAACAUCUCAUUCAGAACAAAUGCUAUGAUCCACAUUACAAUAAAGAUUUCGUCGAUAUUCUUCUUCAAAUCACUUCUUAUAGUUAUGUCGCUCUUUAUCUCUCCCACACCUUUCUCAAAUGAGUACAAAGAAGACAGAGCCUUUGUCAUCUAUAUUCAUACCAUUCAAUCUCUAUCUAAUUUACUUGAUCUUUGUUAAUUGCAGGAUAUGUUUGUUGGUGGUACUGAAACGACAACUACAACAAUAGAAUGGACGAUUGCAGAGCUAGUUAAGAAUCCAAGUGUGAUGCAGAAAGCGCAGGAAGAGGUGAGAAGAGUGGUGUGGAAGAAACAGAAGGUGGAUGAAGAAGAUAUUGCGCAAAUGGUGUACUACAUUAUGGUCUGUACAUUGUAGUACACCAUUUAAUUUUAUGCUGCGAAUGAAGAUUGGGGUAGACCACCCCAGACGAAGAGAGAGCAGAACAGAUAUUGGUUAUCAUGGAGACAACAGAUAGUGAUAAAGAGAUGGUGUGGUGUCAAGAGGCAACAUGCAAGCAAGGGUUAAUAAAUAGUGGCAUUACAGCACAUAGAAACAGGAGCAAUUAGGGCUGUUAAACGAACCGAACAGCUCGGGUUCGGCUCGUUAAAAGAAUCAUGUUUUACCUAUCAACUUCUAUCAUAUCUUACUCCAAGGUAUCUAAUUCUUUUAAAUUAUUUUUUUUAUGAUUAACUAAUAUUACAUAAAUAGUUAGUUCACUAUUUUUCCUAAUAUAGUCUAAUACUAAUUUCUUUCUUAUUUUUUCCACAGGAUGUUUUGCAAGAGUACAUUACAAAGAUUGUUGAACUAUUCAAAACUAAGAUAUCGAUAACUGUAUCAAAAUACAGGUAUCUAGAUCAGUGUAAGAAUUUGGAAUAUACCAAGUCUUGGUUUUAGAAUUUGGUGUCCUUCCAAAUCCUGCCAUACCCCAGAUCCUACCAUCUCCAAAAUCCCAAGUUCCCUACCAUCCUCAAAAUCCCAAAUGUGCGCCCAACUAUCCCUAUCAACAGUUGGUAUUUGAACCAACAGAUAUACGGGUAUCCACCACUACUCGUAGCUAUUUCACAUAUCGACAUAAGUAGCUAUGUCCCCAGGUAUCCCAAACCAACAUAUUUUUCCAUACUGGACACAUCUUAUGCCAAUGGAAAUAGUACUGAUGGCUAUAAAAAAAUGAGGAAUUUGAGCAAUUCCACUGGGUAGUUGUCUAGAUAGUCUUCAUCUAAUUUUACACCAUGUGAUGUUAUUUUUAUAGAAUAUAGAGAGGCAUUUUUGCAAAGGCAUGAUCAAACCAGUUAGAAGACAAUUUGACCUUAGAGAGAUUCUGGGUUUAAAUUAAAAUGGUCAAGUAGGCACACUGUAGACUUAUAUUGAAGCCAUUACUGUUCUUCAUCUCCUUCAGAUAUUCAGAUUUAUCUAGUGGCUAUCAUGAUAUUCAGUUGGCCUACCAAAGAUUAUAUCUAUGGUAACCUCUAAAGACUUGGAAGUUCAAAUACUUUGAGAAUGCAUUUAAACGUAAGAGCCAAGUUGUAGAAUUUUUUUGGGCUGAAUAAAAGAAGCUCAGAUUCAUUUAAAAUGGAGCAUAAAGAGUUGUUUGAUAUUACUAAGAAAUCUAUUAUAACAAUAAAAGAGAUCUUACCUUCAAAGUUUAUUAUACACCGCACAAGCUAGUUAAAGAAUAGGCAUCUGCAAGAAGAGAAUAAGAUAGUUAGGCAGCAUAUCACAAGCUUGAUUUAAAACAUCAAACUGCUUAUUAAAAUCAACCUAACGGUAACAAACGGUAUCUCACUUCUCGCAUCAACAAAAAUACUUGUCUUAGGAAUUGUAUCAAACGUCUAAGUUUUCUUUAUGGUACUCGUGACUGUACCUCAACAAUAUGGAUUUAGCAUUGGUCUCUCUUUUAAUAUCACACAGUAUUAAGGUUUAGUAUAAUUCUUAAUUAUUUUGCAGAUAAGGUUUUCACUACGUAUACUCCUCCUUAUGCAUUUUUUUAAAAAAAUAUAUAAAAGGCUUACCCAGUUCGAGUUAAGAUAGUUGUGUAAAAAAAAACUAUCCACUUUGAGUUAAUCAUAGGUGUACAAUCUGUCUAAUUGCACAUAUUAAUAUAGGUUUGCAUAUUACAUUGGUGUGGGUUGGUACUUGUCAUUCAAUCAGUUGAUAAUGUUGUUUAAGAAUACCCUCAUAUGUUGAUAUACAUGCUCUGAUGAUGAUUAUAUAAAAGGCUGUCGUCUGCGGCAAUCACCAUUUUAGAAAUCUAAUGUAUAAAUGAAUAGAAAAUAAACUCAAUGAUCCUAUGAAUUAUUUUUCUUGAAGUUUUUUAGGCUUCUAUAUUUGAAGAAUCAUUAUAUUUUGGUUUUUUAUGUACUGAUUUUCUAAUGUGCUCAGAUUUUAGAAGUUCAAUUGGUUCGUUGUAGACACCAUUUUCUCUUUAAAUUCAUGAAUUGCCAAAAGAAAUCAAAGAAAGUUGGAACUACAGAGCUCAACUACUUUAUGACUUUCUCCCUCAGUUUAUGUAUUUAUAAACUCUAUGUCUUAUAACCAAAACUCUAUAAUAUCACAAGUGCUCUCUACAAUCUUCUUCAACUUCUAUCACAUAAUUAGUGGUUAAAUUCUACUGCAAGCAAAUCCGGUUUUCUACUAACUUGCUUUGAAAUUUUAAGUACAUACUAAAAAUGACUUAUUGACUGUCUGUUAGUUAUUACUACAAAUUAAUUCUCUCUAACAGAUAAUGUUUCUACAUACACAAAGAUGGUUUUUCACACGGCAGAUGUAAAGGAGAAAGAUGUUCAAAGUCAAUUAUAUAUAGUUGAAUUUCAAAAAAGACACAAUCAAACAACAGUGUGUUGCCGAAACAAUUUUCAGAGAGAUUGUGCUCACUAACUAUUAUCAUAGAUUGUUUUAGAUGUAUACAAAUUAGUUCCAUGCCAAAAACAUAAAAAUUAACAGUUCAUUAGAAUAAAUUCAGUUGCAACCAAUAUUCUGUCCUACAUUUACCACAGACGCAACCAUAAAAAGAAAACCAUUCUUAGAAAGAAAUCGAUAGAUUGACUCUGUCUGGACUGUCCCUUCCGCUCUAAAGUGCUGAGCAUGCAACAGAAUUAAACUUAAGCAGGAGCGAAGUGAGCAGUUCUACUAUUACUUAGGAAAGAAGUGAGGAGUUUUACCAUUACUUAGGAAAGCGAAGGUUUUACUGUUCCUUACUACUACAUGUCUGCUCUAGGGAUAAAAGAAUAACAAUCCCGAUCAGCCUGCAUUUUGCAAUGCAGCAUCAGGUGAUGAAUACAACAACUUAAACUAACAUCUAAGCAACCCUGUCACCAGGUCUUCCCAGCGCAGCAGCAGGUCUUGGAAAUAGUAAUUUUUCCUCGUACGCCAGGCUCCACACCAAAACCACACACCCUUUAAUUUCGAUAUGCUAAUGACUGAAGUGAGUUCCAAUAUUAGUAAAUUAACCAUUAUUUGUAAAUUUCUACUCUUAGUAAGUAACCAAUUACCAUCUAAAACCAACUACUACUCUAAACUGCUUAUCAAGGCUGCAGAUACAAGAAUUGAAGGAUGACUACCUAUCUCAAGUGUUCGACAGUCAAUGAAUUUGAAGAUAUGUACAUUGGGCUAACUAAUCUCGAACCAUCACGUGUUCAACUUUUAAUAAUAUUUCAUUAACUUUUAAAAUCACUUAUCGCAAAUAUGCGGCAAUCAUGGAAUUCCAAGAAACUUGGUCUCUUUCAGGAAUUCUAUCAAACACCUUUACUACAUACCAAUAUGAAAGAGACUUAAGAACAAACUUAAGAACAAAUCAAAAACUGGAACAAACUUACAAAUUAUCAAUCAAUUAGAAAUCAAAUUAUCAAUCAAUUCUAUCAAAAAUCACUUAAGAACAGACUUGCAAUAUAAAAAAAAACAAAAAUCAUCAAUCAAUUACUUAAAAAUUAAGAAAGCAAUCAUGGAAUUCCAAGAAACUUGGUCUCUUUCAGGAAUUCUAUCAAACACCUUUACUACAUACCAAUAUGAAAGAGACUUAAGAACAAAUCAAAAACUGGAACAAACUUACAAAUUAUCAAUCAAUUAGAAAUCAAAUUAUCAAUCAAUUCUAUCAAAAAUCACUUAAGAACAUCAUUGUUCAUCACACAAAGUUUUGAAAGAGAGAGAGAGAGAGAUAAUGUAACAGUUGAUAUCAAAGAGGAAGAGAGAGAGAAAGAGAGAGAGAGAUACCUGGUCGCCGAAGAGAGAAGGAGAUCGAGAGAGAGAUUACGGCAGUGGUGGUUUUGUUUAGUUUUUUGAUUUUUUUUGAUUUUACGGUGAUAUAUAUUCAAAGCGUAACUUAAGCCCACUGUGUAACUUAAGCCCAACCGUAACUUAAGCCCAACCGUAAGUUUAUUAUAACUUAUAUAAGUUAUAAAGAUACACCGUGAUCGAGGAAAUCCAAGGGUUGAGAUCUGAUUUCAGUCUCCAACUUGUAAUCUGGUCCGUCCAAUGUUAAAUUUUAUAUAAGUUUGUCUCCCAAAUUUGAGAUUGCCUUGUCCCUUAUAACUUAGACUAGUUGUACCCGUGGCUUCGCCACGCUAGUGUCAACAAUUUUGUAAACUUUCUCACACAAUUGUAUGCAUCAAAAGAAGGUACAAAGUGAAAAAUGAUUGUAAAUAAUAAUAAAAUACAUACAACUUUAGAAUUGAAUGAAAAAUCUAAAAUGUUUCUUCUUAUAUUACUAAAGUCUAAGCUAUUACCAAAUUUAGAAUUGUAAAUAAGACCAACAAAUUAGGAUAAUACAAUUCGGCUUGGAACAUAAUUAUUCAAAUAAAAAUAGUUCAUAUAUCAUUGAUAUUAUUUUACUUAUUCAGUUAUCCUUAAUUAUAUUAAUAGUAACUAUGAAGAGUAGAAUUUUCUCCUGAACAUGU
rnacentral:lncRNA from 1 species